GCGCCUUGGCCAAAUGAAACACUCAAGGGUCUAACAAUUACGUCCAUAACUGAAGGAAGUAUCCUCAAACAAUUUCUAUUUAUUGUUUCAUCAAUAUGGAGUUUAUUCAAAAGCUGAUUGAAAAGAAAUACUGCCUUGUCUUUUCCCCAUACAUCAUCUUCAAAAAGUUUAGACACUAAUGAUAUAACAGCUCUCAUAAAGGGUUCUCGAAUAUUUUCCACGUGUGUAACAGGAGAUAAAUUUGAAAGACUCAGUUCUGCAACUCCCCCAUGAAUAAGUGCACCAUCGAGCAAAAU
rnacentral:misc_RNA from 1 species